rnacentral:rRNA from 1 species
GAUGAACGCUGGCGGCGUGCCUAAUACAUGCCAGUCGAGCGAACAGACGAGGAGCUUGCUCCUCUGACGUUAGCGGCGGACGGGUGAGUAACACGUGGAUAACCUACCUAUAAGACUGGGAUAACUUCGGGAAACCGGAGCUAAUACCGGAUAAUAUAUUGAACCGCAUGGUUCAAUAGUGAAAGACGGUUUUGCUGUCACUUAUAGAUGGAUCCGCGCCGCAUUAGCUAGUUGGUAAGGUAACAGCUUACCAAGGCAACGAUGCGUAGCCGACCUGAGAGGGUGAUCGGCCACACUGGAACUGAGACACGGUCCAGACUCCUACGGGAGGCAGCAGUAGGGAAUCUUCCGCAAUGGGCGAAAGCCUGACGGAGCAACGCCGCGUGAGUGAUGAAGGUCUUCGGAUCGUAAAACUCUGUUAUUAGGGAAGAACAAAUGUGUAAGUAACUAUGCACGUCUUGACGGUACCUAAUCAGAAAGCCACGGCUAACUACGU